rnacentral:miRNA from 1 species
GCUCAACAGGGUCUUCUUUCC